GGUGGGUGGGCCCGGGCCGCCGGCUAGGGCUAGCGGGAGGUGCGCCUGUCGUGUGGUGUCGGGGUGGCCGAGACGCCCCCGCGGCUCGUGCGAGGGCAGACGACAGCCCCAGAUGGGGGUCGUUGCUGCCUUGACAAGUGCUGGAAACGCAGCCGCGGACGCGGAGGCGUUAGCUGGAGUGAGCGAUCCGGGCUGCUGGGCUGUGUGCUGGGGCCAGCAAUGAAGAGUCGCUUCCAGGCCCCCCGCCCCGUCCAACCUGAAUCGGAACGCGCCGCCGAAUUCCACCGUCAUUUUCAUCCAGGAUGAGAUUCUGGUUGCUCCGUCCGAGUGAAAAAAAAAUGCCACUAAAUUGUUUCCCUUUUGCUUCGCAUACAGUACUCGCCUUUGUUGACAGUCUCUCCUAGCCGUUUCGCCGGUGCCAUCCAUAGAAAGAAUUCAGAAACAAACUUCCUCAGGUGUAGAAUGAACCACAGUUCCGCAGUGAGCAGCGUCCCCGAUACGGGCAGUGGAUCCACUCGUGCCGUGCGGGUUUAGGACCGGGUCUUUCUCCUGCCCCGGGGGGAAGGAAGUGCAGUUCCGCUGUCCUCGGUCGGUGGCCGUCUCGGUCAGCGUGGGCAGAGGCACUUGGGGCAGCAGUGGGGCUCAGGUGGCAUUUUUGGUGGCUCAUGAGUGACAGUGCUCCUGAGAUGGGAGCAGCGAGCUGCAAAGUAUUAAAAAAAAAUGUGUUGGUUACUGGCUGUGUAGAAGUGGGGUCCUAGAAGACGUGUCUGUUUAUCAGUCUUUGAUAAAUUGCAUUUGUCUUUCAGGAAUAAUUUAAGAUCACUGAUUGGUUCUGAAUCCUCCACCAGAUCUAACCUCUGUGGAGGUGAAGCUUUCUGAUGCAUUGGUUUCAUCCAUUUGUAAGCAUUGUCGUUUACCUCCUGAGUGUACAGACACUGUUUGAAAGUCUGGAGAAGGCGCAGACAUCGGGCCUGGCGGUUAAAAUGCCUGCCUCUUUCAUCCGGCGUGCCUGGGUGUGAUUCCUGUCCGCGCCCCACCAGCUUUCUGCCGGGGGCACACGCUGGGAGACAUUGGUGAGGAUUCCGGGGGUUGAGUUCUUGCCCCCGGCAUGGGAAGCCUGAGCUGAGUUCCUGGCCCCUGGUCCGCCGUGGACAUUCGGGGAGGACCAGGUGCACCCACGCAUUGUCUCUUAGGUAGGUGGAGGGCUGGGCGUAAAAGCUGGAGGAGAGCGGGAGACUGCUGCUUGUGCCGGUGGGGCACAGACACAGCUGAGAAGCAGCCGACUUGGGGCUGCCAGGUGGUGAUGAGCGCAGCGGACAGGACAGAGCCGUGAAGGGGGAGUGUCGGAGACCGGGUCCUCGAUGAGUUCUCGCUGAGGAGCGGGGAGGAGCAGGGGUGCAGAGGCCUGGAGGGGAGGCUGCGGCUGUGCAGGGCAGUGUCGGGAAUGGCGUCUGUGUAGUGCCCUCUGUUCUCCCUGCCUUCGUGUCCUCCCUCCCACAGCCACGUCCCCCUCUUCCUUCAUGUCUUCUCCUCCCACAGCCACGUCCCCCUCUUCCUUCAUGUCCCCCUCUUCCUUCAUGUCCCCCUCUUCCUUCAUGUCCUUCCUUCCAGGGCCACGUGGCCACGUCCCCCUCUUCCUGCAGUGUCCUCCCCUCACAUGGCCACGUCCCCCUCUUCCUUCAUGUCCUUCCCUCCCACAGCCACGUGGCCAUGUCCCCCUCUUCCUUCAUGUCCUUCCUUCCAGGGCCACGUGGCCACGUCCCCCUCUUCCUGCAGUGUCCUCCCCUCACAUGGCCACGUCCCCCUCUUCCUUCAUGUCCUUCCCUCCCACAGCCACGUGGCCAUGUCCCCCUCUUCCUUCAUGUCCUUCCUUCCAGGGCCACGUGGCCACGUCCCCUGCUUCCUGCAGUGUCCUCCCCUCACACGGCCACAUCCCCCUCUUCCUUCAUGUCCUUCCCUCCCACAGCCACGCGGUCACAUCCCCCUCUUCCUUCAUGUCCUUCCUUCCAGGGCCACGUGGCCACAUCCCCUUCUUCCUUCAGUGUCCUCCCCUCCCAGGGCCACGUGGCCAUGUCCCCUCUUCCUUUGUGUCCUCCCCUCCCAGGGCCACGUGGCCACGUCCCUCUCUUCCUUCAGUGUCCUCCCCUCCCAGGGCCACGUGGCCACAUUCCCCUCUUCCUUCAUGUCCUCCCCUCCAGGGCCGUGCAGCCACGUUCCCUUCUUCCUCGUUCUGGAUCCAGCUCCAAUAUCACUUAAGCAGUCCCUGAAAUAUUUUUAUUUAUUUGAAAGGCAGAGAGCACUAUCUUACAUCCACUGGUUCACCUUCCUUAUGUCUGCAAUAGCCAGGUCUGGGCUAGGCUGGGUCAGCAGGAGCCUGAAAUUCUAUCCAUGUCUUCCACUUGGGUGGCAGGGACUCAAGUAUUUGAGCCAUCACUUGCUGCUUCCCAGGAUGCACUUGAGCAGAAACUGGACUGCAGGCUCAGCGGGGACCCCGCCGAGCUCUCAGCUUGUGCGUUACCAGGGAGCAGAGUGGCCGGCUCCUGAACCAGGCACUGCGGCGGGAGGCCAGCACCCCAUGUGACGGCUUAACCCGCCGUGCUGCGGCACCUGCCCGCACGCCCUGAAAUAUUUUACCUCGUGGAAAGGCUAUUGGUUCUUAGGAUUUUGUUUUUUAUCUUUGUUGCGACACGCUAUCCUGUUUUACAGCUUACUUUCUUGGGGAUCUGUCCUAUAGAAUUCCUAAAGGAAGGUGCCAGAUUUUAGGUAGAGUUUGUGUUAGUCUCUGCAAUCCCUGAGUCUUGAAAUAGUCUUGAAAUAAGUGUGUGCAUUUAUAAUCUCUCAGGUUGGGAUAGAAUUUGAAUUAGAGUUGACUUUCUGGAUUGUUGUUCUGCCUCUUAAAAUUUAGUCCUUUGUUAAGCAGAGGUUUUAAAACCUAUGCCUUUAACAUUAAAAAAAGGGUGAAAUGAUUGCUCUCACGUGUUUUUAUAGUUUGGAAUUUUAUUUUUCAAAUUUAUUUAACAAAAGAGAGAGCUCUCAUCUGCCAGUUUACUCCUCAAUUACAGGCAAAGCCAGAGCCAGGAACUCAAUCCACGUCUCCCUGGGGGCGGCAGGAACCCAUUUUCUUGAACCGCGGAAGUUGCCUCCGGGGUCUGCCUUAGCCCAAAGCUGGGAUCAGGAGCAGAGCCAGGCAGGAAACCCUUGUGUUGAACUCUAGGCCGAAUACCCACCGCAUAUCUUUGUUUUGGGUUGAAAGAAGCCUCUAAGAAGUAUACAUCCAAGAAGACUGGUAGCUUUUAGUGUAAGUUAUUAAGCAGUGUGUUGGGUGUGCUUGCAGACAGUUCUGUACACUCAGGAGACUGAGGUUCAGUCCUGUAAUAAUGAUUUAACUUUGAGCAGUUGGAAAUUGUUUAACCUUUUACCAACAAGUUUCCAUAACUGAUUGGAUUUUCAACCCCUGUUCCCUCUUAUAACACUUGAUGUACGUGCAUCUCACUCUUUAAUAGUACAGAUUUCCAUUUCAUGCUAUCAAGUUUAGAUUUUUUUUUUUCUUAAUUUGAGAGAUAGAGUUACAGACAGUGAGAGGGAGAGAGAGAAAGGUCUUCCUUCCUUUGGUUCACCCCCCAAAUGGCUGCAAUGCUGGAUCUGCACCUAUCCGAAGCCAGGAGCCAGGAGCUUCUUCCAGGUCUCCCAUGUGGGUACAGGGGCCCAAGGACUUGGGCCGUCUUCUACUGCUUUCCCAGGCCAUAGCAGAGAGCUGAUCAGAAGUGGAGCAGCUGGGACUAGAACUGGCACCCAUAUGGGAUGCAGGUGCCACAGGUGGAGGAUUAACCUAUACCACAGCGCCUGUCCCCAUGUUUAGAUUUGAUUGUGCCUCCAAGCUGCUGGCCUGUGUGGGACAUCUGAAGUCACACACCUGUUCUGCUGAACUGGAGUUUUGGUUCCUUCUGCUGCAGUCAGACCUUAAGAAACCAAGGGUGAACUCCAAGAGUGUCCCCUUUCGUUUCUGCCUUUGUUCUUGAGCUGUGUCACUGAGAAGUUCAUGCGCUUCUCUUGGUUUGUCUCUUUAAAUUGAUGCUUAGCCACAUCAGCUUGGCAACAGUAACCUUUGGUCUUUUAUUACUGUUUGCCUGGAGAUACUUGUAUCGUACUGUAAAUGACAAGUGAGACUUAAAACUUGUGUUUCAUAAACCCAGUGUAUUUUUAGCUAGCUAUUAAACAAAGCAAAAAAGAAGAACCCUUUGGUUAUGAUUACUAUGUUAUUAGUGAACCAUAGUGUACUCUUGGUGAAUCAUGCUAAUAAAGUAGAAAUGGUUUGCUUUUAUAUGAAUUCUCUUCGUUGCUUCCAAGAUACAAAGCAUUGUGUGGAUGUAGGCGUGUGUGCAUGGACAUAUCACACGUAGAUAAAGUACAAGCAGGAACAUUUCAAACUGUAAGAUACAAGAAUUGCCUCAUUUUUUAAUAACUCUGUUAGAUUACUGAGUUGUUUGUCAACCUGAUGCAAGCCUAGAAAGAUCUUUAUGGUUAUUUUCUUGGUGAUUUUUUUUGACUUGAGAGGAUAUGUAGCAUUUUUUUCUUUCUUAAUGCUGCAUCCAUGUUUAUUGAUCUAUUAAUCUUUUUUUUUUCUGGUCACUAUUAAGACAGCUUAUUUCUGUGAUGAAAUAAUUCUAGUUCUGAGAAUUCAGGUGCUGGCAUUUCAGCUUUUUUGUUAAGAAAGUUCCCGAUGAUUUGGUUUUCUUCUGUGUUGGUAGGAAUGCUGUUGGUUACGUAAGUUGGGUUCUUUGUAGCCCAACUCAGAUGCUUAAAAAGAACUUUGUGCCUAAUAGGAAGUGCAUAGUAGUAGACAGCUUGCAAAAUUGCCUCAUUCAGCAAACCAGUAACUUCGGGGAAAGACCCAGUUCCUUUCUCUUUCACUGUCUAUCUUCACACAAUCACUAGUUCAGUCCAGAGAGGGACAGUGAUGGGGAAUCCUAGAAUGUGUCUUUUCUUCUUUCAAAUGAGUUAGACCUACCCAAGACCACCAACAACGUAUUCUGAUCAGAGGUCAACCUUGGGGCUGAGGAGGAAGGGGAAACGGGACUGGUGUUCUGUUGGAAAUACGGCACAGAGGAGUGGAUGCUGGUCUCCAGUCCCUCUCAAUUAUUUUUAAUUUUUGUUUUUAUUAAUGUAUAGUUGUUUGAUGUAUGUGUAUAUUGUGAAAUGGGUAAACAGCCUAAUUCACGUGUCUGUCAACAGUCCCUUUUAGCUCAUGUUUCUUUUCAAUAGAUGUUUUUUCUUAUCUAAUUGUAGAUUGUGAGGUUGUUAAUAUCAGGAAUGGUUCUUUACGAUAGACAAUUAACAGGUCACAAUAAGUGUUAGUUCAAGAUACACCUUAUGUUAAAGGAUCAUUAACAAUUCAAAUUCUAAUAUGAUCACAAUUUUUGUGUAAAUAUUUUUGAAAAUCUGUGUUUUGUUUUUAAAUUAUAUGAAACGCAUUAAUAGUAAAGGAGAGAAAAUGUUGAAAAUGAUGGUGAUUUUGGCUCGAUUAGGGAAGUGUUGUCAGUGGGCUGUGUCACAUGUCAUUCAUUGGUCUUUCUGGUCAGGAGAAAGGUCUUGGGUAGGGCGGCUGUAUUGUGUUUCUGCAGCAGUCAUUGGUUGCUGCAUUAUUUAUUGUUUUAAAUUUUAAUUAAGUUCUCUUUUGUGAUCGUAUGGAACAUGAGUAUUAUGAUCACUAGGGUCAUCCUUGACUGGGCCACACAGAGAUAAUUGGAAGCUCUGGGUGUUUUCCUCCAGUCCUGUGUUCCCUUCCAGAAUGCCCCAAUGAAGAGUACGCGAUUUUAGACGCAGGUAGUACAAAAUGAACGCAUUGGAGCUGGUGGUGGAUUUCUUUUCUUUUCUUUUUUUUUUUUUUUUUGAGAUUUAUGUAUUUAUUAGAAAGGCAGAGUCACAGAGAGAGACAGAGAGAUAAAGAGAGAUCUUCUAUCUGCUGGUUCACUCCCCAAAUGGCCACAAUGGCUGGAGCUGGGCCAGUCUGAAGCCAGGAGCUUCUUCCGGGUCUCCAAGUGGGUACACGGGCCCAAGGACUUGGGCCGUUGUCUGCUGCUGUCCCAGGCACAUUAGCAGAGAGCUGAAUGGGAAGUGGAACAGCUGGGACUUGAACUGGAACCCACUUCGGAUGCCGUUGCCACAGGAGGCAGCUCUACCCAUCUGCCACAGCGCCAGCCCUGGUGGUGGAUUUCUUAAACAGUUGUGGCUUUAAGAUAAAAAUGUUAAUUUCUGUCUACUCUUGUAAUUUUCACAUACACGAAUGCAUAUGAAUAACAAGUUAAUAAUUUGCAUAUAUACCUGGGUUUGAUUCCCUACUCUCUGGCUCCUACCUCCAGCCUCCUUCUGUGCAGACCCUGGGAGGCAGCAGUGGUGGCUCAGGUAGUUGGGUUCCUGGCACCCCUGUUGAAGACCUGGGUUGAGUUCCUGGCUCCUGGCUGCCAGUCUAGCCCUGGCUGUGUUGUAGGCAUCUGGGGAGUGAACCAGCAAAUGGGAGCUGUCUCUCAGUUGCUCUUCUCUUCCUAUCAAAAAAAUUUCGUUUAAAGAAGUCAUGUUAGGAAAAGUUGGAGAUGCCCUUUCCCAGCCCACCCUGCCGUGUCAGCUUCUCCUUGUCAGAUCCUUUGAACGGCAGCGUAGGGAAUUCGCUCUCUUUGCCGAGGGGUCAGGCAGCUCUUUGCAAGCCUGGGGACCUUCUGCCCUGUCAAGCCGGCUGCUCAACAUUCAGUCAGUCUGCAGUAGGCUAAUGUUUAAGUUGAUAAUAUCGUUCAGCCCGUGACUGAUGUUACAGAUAACCAAAUGGCCCUUAGCAGAGAAAGGCUCCCCCCACCCCAGUCGUAGAGGAACGUUGCUGGGAAAAGCAGCAAAGGGGCUGCAGGCCCCUCCUCUCCCUGGACGUCUUCCUUCCACAGGUGUUUCCUUGUUGUUUGUGUGUCUAAGCGCUGGGAAGGUAGUGAUAAGUUUUAGUGGCAAGAGGGGGUUAAUAGAUGGACUCUGCAAGGCCGUGGGGAGUCUGCAGAGAAACGCAGCAGUGCACGGGGGCCCAGGUGACGAGCGGAGGCUGUGUUAGCCGGGGUCCGCAGGCAGAGCAGCCCCCGCACCCAGCCUGUGAGAAGAGCUCUGAUUGAGGGGAGAGAGGAAGAAUUGCAGGAGCAGCCGAGUAGGGAAGGGAUCGGGCAGGGUGGAGUCCCGUGCAUGGGGCUCACUGGAUGUGGUCAGGAAUAGCAAGAAGGCACGCUGGGUAAUGACAGGAAGAGUGGCAGGAGAUGAAGCCAGCAGGAUGGAGCCGCACCGCACCUCCUCUCACAUCCCUCUGUGGUGGUGGUGACCUCAUCCCAGCGUGCCCUCCACUGCCCUCCACGAGUCCUCCGCGUGUUUGUGCGCUUGCGCAGCGCCCUUGCUGGAAGGGUGGAGCUGCUCCCUCCCCUCUGCUCACCUUGCUGAUGCACCUGUUAGCGUUGGGCCCUGCAGAGGGGUGCUCACCCAGUGAAAGCAGGUAGACGUCUCUGUUCUCGUUCUGUGCAGCCUCCCUGCCGGUGAGUCCUGUGAUCAAGCUGGUGCCAUUUCCUGUCACCUUCAAAGUCACACAACCCAAGAAGAAAACUUUUUUUUUAGACCUCUCACGGGCAAACAAAAUCCCCGUGAUGCCGCCGAGCACCACCGCGUGGAGCCGAGCAGCGCUUCCAUCUUUCCUGCCUUCCUUGGAGCCUGACGUCAUGGCAGGAGUCACUCCCUCUCGGUCAGCGUUUUUUGUUUGUUUGUUUGUUUAAAUUUGACAGGUAGAGUUAUAGACAGUGAGAGAGAGAGACAGAGAGAAGGUCUUCCUUCCCUUGUUCACUUCCCAAAUGCAGCUCCAGCCGAAGCCGGGAGCCAGGUGCCUCUUCCCGGUCUCCCGUGCCGGUGCAGGGCCCAAGCACUUGGGCCAUCCUCAACUGCCCUUCCGGGCCACAGCAGAGAGCUGGGCUGGAAGAGGAGCAGCUGGGACUAGAACCUGGUGCCCACAUAGGAUGCUGGCGCCGCAGGCAGAGGAUUAACCAAGUGAGCCACGGCGCCGGCCCCGUCGGCGUUCUUUUUGUUCCUGGGGACGAAGGGACCUGUUUGAAUUUUCCAAAGACCCAUUGGGUGAUUUUGAUUUAUGGGUGCUGAGUGCAAGGAUUACCUGUUCACCUAUCAUGAGUGUGUUCUGCUGCUUCCUGUCUUACUGUGAUAAAGAAGAGUUAUAAACUAAUUUUAAUGCAGAAAAAUGUGUAUCAUAAAAUCCAUUUUUCAGCAUUUUAAGUGUACUGUCGCCUUCACUAUCAUCUGCGUUGUAGAACUUUCCGUCCUCCUCUGACCCUGUACGUACUGAGCGCUGACUCUUCCCCCUCUCCCAGCCCCCGGGACCCUCAUUCUACUUUCUGUCUCUGAAGUUGACCAGGAACCUCAGAGUGAAGACACACAGCAGCAGAUCAUCAGGGAGACCUUCCACUUGGUCUCUAAGAGGGAUGAGAACGUCUGUAAUUUCCUGGAAGGAGGAUUUUCAUAAUCAGUCUUAAGCUGUGUAACUUACUGUGACCUGUGGAGUUAAAUCUAAUUAAUUGGAGGAUCUGACAACAAACUGAUUUAUAGACAUUAUGCAACGUUAUAUUUUGUCUUCUGUGUGGAUUCUUCAGAAAGUGAACUUGGCAUUUUAGAUCUAAUUCAAGUAUUUGUGGAAACAUUAGACAAGUGUUUUGAAAAUGUCUGUGAGCUGGAUUUGAUUUUCCACGUAGACAA